ACAGGUCUCUGUACUGCAAAUGCACGUGAACCAGUGGAAGAAAGCUCUCCAUGUGCUUCCUCAGGUACUUCCCAGUGGCACUGCUCAGACACCAGAGCUCCAACUGCAGCAGGUGAGUCCUGGAGUGCUGGAUCAGCAUGGCCACAAUGGCCAGGGAGGUGAGUGAGCACUGGGCAAGGCAGUGAGCCUGCACCUCAACACCACCUGUGAGAGCAAGGACUGGCUCACUCUGGAGAGCCUGAAGGAAAACUCGCUCCAAAUCUCUUCUGGCCGAUGCUGACAUCAAUUUCCCCAAAGCCUUAAUGUGCUCUGUGGACAGCAGAAGUUCUCCUUGCUGGGGCUGUCUUUGGUGGCUGUCUGUAAAGAGCUGCACCAAAGUUUGUCCAUAGAAGCUUAACUGCUUCCCUAUUUUAGGGGAUUUUUUCAGAUUUCUGAGAAGCCAAGCCCAUCUCAGGAAGUUGCAGCAUGGUUAAAGUGAUCUCCUUCAGCUGAGCUGCAGUCAUGUACAUGUGCAGCUCCUCCAGAGCCUGCAGCUGGUGAGACUUCCUGGGAUAGACCUGGCUUUGGUCCUUCCCCCCAGUCUGCAGCUCUUCCAGGACACUUUUGGUGAUGGCUUUGAAAUACUUGGACAAGACGUGUCUGUGAUCUCUCGUUUUCAGCAGCUGGAGCACCCCAGAAUGGAGGUGAGCUGACAGGAGCUUCACAGUGACAGGGUUCAGACCAGGCUGAGGAACAGAGCGCAGCUCCAACGCCAGGAACCAGCUCUCCAGUGCAGGAUGUCUGAAAAUCAAGGGAUUUGGUACCUUGUCAUUUAAAGACACUUCUGUCAUCAGAGGCUCCUCAUCCAUGAAGAGAUCCCAUCAGCCUGAUGCUCCUCCUGCUUCUGCUGCUGCUCCAGCUUUAUUUCAUUGUCCCGGCACAACAAGAUGCUCAGCAGGUCCACACAGAGAUCGACAAGCUGAGGACCCAAAGUUUUACCAAGCUAUGAAAACAAAGACAUGUUGGAAGUGAAGAAAAGAGGAGGAUGGGAGCAGACAGGUAAUUAUACAGCAGGAAUAGGAGUUAACUAAGAACUACUUAGAUUACAACCUCUUCUGGGAGAAGGAACCACCUCGCUUAAUAGGAACCUGAUUCUAAGAGAAGUCUCAGGUUGCCAAAUAAAUAGUGAUAGAAUUUCAUUUACACAUAUAUAUAUUCAUUUAUACAUUAUAUAUAUGACAUUUGGAGGUACACAGGCCAGUGAAUUUUACUCUCUGCAAAGGCUUCCUGGGGAGACCCAGGAGCUGGAUUAAAAUCUCGAGGUUAUUUGCACUCACACUGAUCAGCAAGGUAACCCAUGCAAAGUAAAUCCAAAGCAAAUCCUCAAUAAUAAGAACUGGCAUUUGUUUACAAAUUACGUGCAGUUUUGUACGGUGCUGUGCAGCCUCAGAGACAAGCACAGAAAAAAGAGCUACAGAACUGGAACCUAAGUUUGAACAGCUAAGUCAUUUGUACCUUCUACAUGAAAAUAAAUCAAACAUAACCACAAUAUUAUUACAAUAUUGCUCUUA